UGAACGCUAGCUACAGGCUUAACACAUGCAAGUCGAGGGGCAGCAUUGGAGUAGCAAUACUCAGAUGGCGACCGGCGCACGGGUGAGUAACACGUAUCCAACCUGCCGCUUACUCGGGGAUAGCCUUUCGAAAGAAAGAUUAAUACCCGAUGGUAUAAAGAGUUCGCAUGUUCUCUUUAUUAAAGAAUUUCGGUAAGCGAUGGGGAUGCGUUCCAUUAGAUAGUUGCGGGGUAACGGCCCACCAAGUCUACGAUGGAUAGGGGUUCUGAGAGGAAGGUCCCCCACAUUGGAACUGAGACACGGUCCAAACUCCUACGGGAGGCAGCAGUGAGGAAUAUUGGUCAAUGGACGAGAGUCUGAACCAGCCAAGUAGCGUGAAGGAUGACUGCCCUAUGGGUUGUAAACUUCUUUUAUAAGGGAAUAAAGUGAGGGACGUGUCCCUUUUUGUAUGUACCUUAUGAAUAAGGAUCGGCUAACUCCGUGCCAGCAGCUGC
rnacentral:rRNA from 1 species